rnacentral:rRNA from 1 species
UACAGAGGGUGCAAGCGUUAAUCGGAAUUACUGGGCGUAAAGCGCGCGUAGGUGGUUUGUUAAGUUGGAUGUGAAAGCCCCGGGCUCAACCUGGGAACUGCGCUUGUGACUGCAAGGCUAGAGUACGGCAGAGGGGGGUGGAAUUCCACGUGUAGCAGUGAAAUGCGUAGAGAUGUGGAGGAACACCAAUGGCGAAGGCAGCCCCCUGGGUCGAUACUGACGCUCAUGCACGAAAGCGUGGGUAGCAAACAGG